AUCAGGUGGGACUACCCGCUGAACUUAAGCAUAUCAAUAAGCGGAGGA
rnacentral:rRNA from 2 species